AGAGUUUGAUCCUGGCUCAGGACGAACGCUGGCGGCGUGCCUAAUACAUGCAAGUAGAACGCUGAAGAGAGGAGCUUGCUCUUCUUGGAUGAGUUGCGAACGGGUGAGUAACGCGUAGGUAACCUGCCUGGUAGCGGGGGAUAACUAUUGGAAACGAUAGCUAAUACCGCAUAAAAUUGAUUAUUGCAUGAUAAUUAAUUGAAAGAUGCAAUUGCAUCACUACCAGAUGGACCUGCGUUGUAUUAGCUAGUUGGUGAGGUAACGGCUCACCAAGGCGACGAUACAUAGCCGACCUGAGAGGGUGAUCGGCCACACUGGGACUGAGACACGGCCCAGACUCCUACGGGAGGCAGCAGUAGGGAAUCUUCGGCAAUGGGGGGAACCCUGACCGAGCAACGCCGCGUGAGUGAAGAAGGUUUUCGGAUCGUAAAGCUCUGUUGUAAGAGAAGAACGGGUGUGAGAGUGGAAAGUUCACACUGUGACGGUAUCUUACCAGAAAGGGACGGCUAACUACGUGCCAGCAGCCGCGGUAAUACGUAGGUCCCGAGCGUUGUCCGGAUUUAUUGGGCGUAAAGCGAGCGCAGGCGGUUAGAUAAGUCUGAAGUUAAAGGCUGUGGCUUAACCAUAGUAUGCUUUGGAAACUGUUUAACUUGAGUGCAGAAGGGGAGAGUGGAAUUCCAUGUGUAGCGGUGAAAUGCGUAGAUAUAUGGAGGAACACCGGUGGCGAAAGCGGCUCUCUGGUCUGUAACUGACGCUGAGGCUCGAAAGCGUGGGGAGCAAACAGGAUUAGAUACCCUGGUAGUCCACGCCGUAAACGAUGAGUGCUAGGUGUUAGGCCCUUUCCGGGGCUUAGUGCCGCAGCUAACGCAUUAAGCACUCCGCCUGGGGAGUACGACCGCAAGGUUGAAACUCAAAGGAAUUGACGGG
rnacentral:rRNA from 1 species